CCUACGGGCUGCACCAGUGGGGAAUAUUGCACAAUGGGCGCAAGCCUGAUGCAGCCAUGCCGCGUGUAUGAAGAAGGCCUUCGGGUUGUAGAGUACUUUCAGCGGGGAGGAAGGUGUUGUGGUUAAUAACCACAGCAAUUGACGUUACCCGCAGAGGAAGCACCGGCUAACUCCGUGCCAGCAGCCGCGGUAAUACGGAGGGUGCAAGCGUUAAUCGGAAUUACUGGGCGUAAAGCGCACGCAGGCGGUCUGUCAAGUCGGAUGUGAGAUCCCCGGGCUCAACCUGGGAACUGCAUUCGAAACUGGCAGGCUAGAGUCUUGUAGAGGGGGGUAGAAUUCCAGGUGUAGCGGUGAAAUGCGUAGAGAUCUGGAGGAAUACCGGUGGCGAAGGCGGCCCCCUGGACAAAGGCUGACGCUCAGGUGCGAAAGCGUGGGGAGCAAACAGGAUUAGAUACCCCAGUAGUC
rnacentral:rRNA from 1 species